rnacentral:rRNA from 1 species
CCUACGAGAGGCUGCAGUGGGGAAUAUUUGGCAAUGGGCGCAAGCCUGACCCAGCAACGCCGCGUGAAGGAAGAAGGCUUUCGGGUUGUAAACUUCUUUUCUGAGGGACGAAGAAAGUGACGGUACCUCAGGAAUAAGCCACGGCUAACUACGUGCCAGCAGCCGUGGUAAUACGUAGGUGGCAAGCGUUAUACGGAUUUAUUGGGUGUAAAGGGCGUGUAGGCGGGAAAGCAAGUCAGAUGUGAAAAAUCAGGGCUCCACCCUGAGCCUGCAUUUGAAACUGUUUUUCUUGAGUGCUGGAGAGGCAAUCGGAAUGCCGGGUGUAGCGGUGAAAUGCGUAGAUAUACGGAGGAACACCAGUGGCGAAGGCGGAUUGCUGGACAGUAACGGACGCUGAGGCGCGAAAGCGUGGGGAGCAAACAGGAUUAGAUACCCGUGUAGUC